CCUACGGGGGGCAGCAGUGAGGAAUAUUGGUCAAUGGGCGCGAGCCUGAACCAGCCAAGUAGCGUGAAGGAUGACUGCCCUACGGGUUGUAAACUUCUUUUAUAAAGGAAUAAAGUGAGGCAUGUGAGCCUUUUUGUAUGUACUUUAUGAAUAAGGAUCGGCUGACUCCGUGCCAGCAGCCGUGGUAAUACGGAGGAUCCGAGCGUUAUCCGGAUUUCUUGGGGUUAAAGGGAGCGUAGAUGGGUUGUUAAGUCAGUUGUUAAAGUUUGCGGCUCAACCGUAAGAUUGCAAUUGAUACUGGCAGCCUUGAGUACAGUUGAGGUAGGCGGAAUUCGUGGUGUAGCGGUGAAAUGCUUAGAUAUCACGAAGAACUCCGAUUGCGAAGGCAGCUUACUAAACUGCCACUGACAUUGAUGCUCGAAAGUGUGGGUAUCAAACAGGAUUAGAUACCCUUGUAGUC
rnacentral:rRNA from 1 species